UACGUAGGGUGCGAGCGUUGUCCGGAAUUAUUGGGCGUAAAGGGCUCGUAGGCGGUUUGUCGCGUCGGGAGUGAAAACCCAGGGCUUAACCCUGGGCUGGCUUCCGAUACGGGCAGACUAGAGGUAUGCAGGGGGAGAACGGAAUUCCUGGUGUAGCGGUGAAAAUGCGCAGAGUAUCAGGAGGAACACCGGUGGCGAAGGCGGUUCUCUGGGCAUUACCUGACGCUGAGGAGCGAAAGUGUGGGGAGCGAACAGG
rnacentral:rRNA from 1 species